GACGAACGCUUUCGGCGUGCUUAACACAUGCAAGUCGAACGGAAAGGCCCUGCUUUUGUGGGGUGCUCGAGUGGCGAACGGGUGAGUAACACGUGAGUAACCUGCCCUUGACUUUGGGAUAACUUCAGGAAACUGGGGCUAAUACCGGAUAGGAGCUCCUGCUGCAUGGUGGGGGUUGGAAAGUUUCGGCGGUUGGGGAUGGACUCGCGGCUUAUCAGCUUGUUGGUGGGGUAGUGGCUUACCAAGGCUUUGACGGGUAGCCGGCCUGAGAGGGUGACCGGCCACAUUGGGACUGAGAUACGGCCCAGACUCCUACGGGAGGCAGCAGUGGGGAAUAUUGCACAAUGGGCGGAAGCCUGAUGCAGCAACGCCGCGUGCGGGAUGACGGCCUUCGGGUUGUAAACCGCUUUCGCCUGUGACGAAGCGUGAGUGACGGUAAUGGGUAAAGAAGCACCGGCUAACUACGUGCCAGCAGCCGCGGUGAUACGUAGGGUGCGAGCGUUGUCCGGAUUUAUUGGGCGUAAAGGGCUCGUAGGUGGUUGAUCGCGUCGGAAGUGUAAUCUUGGGGCUUAACCCUGAGCGUGCUUUCGAUACGGGUUGACUUGAGGAAGGUAGGGGAGAAUGGAAUUCCUGGUGGAGCGGUGGAAUGCGCAGAUAUCAGGAGGAACACCAGUGGCGAAGGCGGUUCUCUGGGCCUUUCCUGACGCUGAGGAGCGAAAGCGUGGGGAGCGAACAGGCUUAGAUACCCUGGUAGUCCACGCUGUAAACGGUGGGUACUAGGUGUGGGGUCCAUUCCACGGGUUCCGUGCCGUAGCUAACGUUUUAAGUACCCCGCCUGGGGAGUACGGCCGCAAGGCUAAAACUCAAAGGAAUUGACGGGGCCCCGCACAAGCGGCGGAGCAUGCGGAUUAAUUCGAUGCAACGCGUAGAACCUUACCUGGGUUUGACAUGGAUCGGGAGCGCUCAGAGAUGGGUGUGCCUCUUUUGGGGUCGGUUCACAGGUGGUGCAUGGCUGUCGUCAGCUCGUGUCGUGAGAUGUUGGGUUAAGUCCCGCAACGAGCGCAACCCUUGUUCACUGUUGCCAGCACGUUAUGGUGGGGACUCAGUGGAGACCGCCGGGGUCAACUCGGAGGAAGGUGGGGAUGACGUCAAGUCAUCAUGCCCCUUAUGUCCAGGGCUUCACGCAUGCUACAAUGGCUGGUACAGAGAGUGGCGAGCCUGUGAGGGUGAGCGAAUCUCGGAAAGCCGGUCUCAGUUCGGAUUGGGGUCUGCAACUCGACCUCAUGAAGUCGGAGUCGCUAGUAAUCGCAGAUCAGCAACGCUGCGGUGAAUACGUUCCCGGG
rnacentral:rRNA from 1 species